UACGUAGGGGGCAAGCGUUGUCCGGAAUCAUUGGGCGUAAAGCGCGUGUGGGCGGCCCGGUAAGUCCGCUGUGAAAGUCGGGGGCUCAACCCUCGGAUGCCGGUGGAUACUGUCGGGCUCGAGUACGGAAGAGGCGAGUGGAAUUCCUGGUGUAGCGGUGAAAUGCGCAGAUAUCAGGAGGAACACCAAUUGCGAAGGCAGCUCGCUGGGACGUUACUGACGCUGAGACGCGAAAGCGUGGGGAGCAAACAGG
rnacentral:rRNA from 1 species